GCUGCUGGCUGGUCACAUUUUAGUCCUCGAUUGCAAAUAAUGAAGUUUCUGGUGCUUUUCCUGUCCCUGUUGGCUGCCCCGGGAUAUGUCCUGUCGCAAGUUCAGCUGGUCCAGUCCGGCCCAGGCGUGGUGAAGCCCGGGGAGACCCUCACACUGACCUGCUCUAUCACUGGGGACUCGGUCACUAACAGAUACUGGGAAUGGGUCCGGCAGGCUCCCGGGAAAGGGCUGGAUUGGGUGGGACAGAUCGACUGGGAUGCCUCCAAAUGGCGCAUAUACUAUGGCCCGUCUUUCCAGAGCCGCGCAACCCUCAGUGCAGAUUCCUCCAAGAACCAGUUCUCCCUGCAGCUCCGCUCGCUGACAGCUGCAGACACCGCCACGUAUUACUGCGCCAGAGACACAGUGACGCAGAGCAGAGCAGGGCCUGGGGUGCGGUCUGAUGUCCAGCUGGUGGAGUCUGGAGGGGAUGUGAAAAAGCCCAGAGACUCCCUCCGCCUCUCCUGCAAAACCUCCGGAUUCACCUUCGCUGACUAUAAUAUGCACUGGAUCCGUCAGGCUCCAGGGAAAGGACUGGACUGGGUGGCCUAUAUUAGUGGCCCCAGUGGAACAACUAUAUAUUACUCCCAGGCAGUCAAAGGGCGAUUCACCAUCUCCAGAGACAAUUCCAGCAACCUGCUAAACUUGCAAAUGUCUGAGCUGAAAGCAGAAGCCAUGGGCCUGUAUUACUGUGCGAGACAGACACAAUGA